rnacentral:lncRNA from 1 species
UGACUUCUGUUUGGUUCUUGUUGGUGACCGUUGGUUCUGAAGUAUGGGUUCUAAGUUGAUGACUGUGUUCUAUGGUUCCCGGUUCCAAAUUCAUGCUGAAGUUCUGAUCCUGCGCCUUGUGAUACAUAGCCAACCAGUCAUUGUUUCAUCAUUUUGCAUCAUAGCAUGUUCAUUUUCAAAAAAAAAAUAAUGCAAAAAAAAACAGAAAAAAAGUCAACCCGCAUAUGCA